rnacentral:lncRNA from 1 species
AAAAAAAAAACAAAAAAAUAAAAGAAUAAUUACCUAUAUAUCCCUCAAAACUUCAGAAAUAUCUCAUUUAUCGCUAUUUUUUUUCAUUCCAAUAUACUUCUCACAUGUUCCAUCGUUAUUUCAAAAUACCCCUGUAGUUACCAUCCGUUAAAUUAAUAUAGGUUAAAUGUGAGUUAAAUAUCUAUUAAAGUUUAAAAAAAAAUUAAAAUGCCUCUUUUGUCCUUAGCUUAAAAACAAAUAAGAAAUAUUAAUGAUGAUAGAAAGGUAUAUUUAAAAAGAUAAAAAAUUAAAAUAAUUUUUGUACUCCUAACUUAAAGAGCAAAUAAGAAAAGUCGAUAAUAAUAAUUUUAUAUAUAUAACAGCUAUUGUUAAUCGUUUAUUAACAAUAUUUAACUCUAAAUAUAUAUUUGAAAUAUGUUGAAAUAUUUAACUCUAAAUAUAUAUUUGAAAUAGGUUGAAAUGUAAAAAAAAAAAAAAAUUUUUAAUAUUAA